UACGAAGGGUGCAAGCGUUACUCGGAAUUACUGGGCGUAAAGCGUGCGUAGGUGGUUCGUUAAGUCUGAUGUGAAAGCCCUGGGCUCAACCUGGGAAUGGCAUUGGAUACUGGCGACCUAGAGUGCGGUAGAGGGGUGUGGAAUUCCCGGUGUAGCAGUGAAAUGCGUAGAUAUCGGGAGGAACAUCUGUGGCGAAGGCGACACCCUGGACCAGCACUGACACUGAGGCACGAAAGCGUGGGGAGCAAGCAGG
rnacentral:rRNA from 1 species